GAUGAACGCUGGCGGCGUGCCUAAUACAUGCAAGUCGAGCGAAUGGAUUAAGAGCUUGCUCUUAUGAAGUUAGCGGCGGACGGGUGAGUAACACGUGGGUAACCUGCCCAUAAGACUGGGAUAACUCCGGGAAACCGGGGCUAAUACCGGGUAACAUUCUGAACCGCAUGGUUCGAAAUUGAAAGGCGGCUUCGGCUGUCACUUAUGGAUGGACCCGCGUGGCAUUAGCUAGUUGGUGAGGUAACGGCUCACCAAGGCAACGAUGCGUAGCCGAACUGAGAGGGUGAUCGGCCAAACUGGGACUGAGACACGGCCCAGACUCCUACGGGGGGCAGCAGUAGGGAAUCGUCGGCAAUGGACGAAAGUCUGACGGAGCAACGCCGCGUGGGUGAUGAAGGCUUUCGGGUCGUAAAACUCUGUUGUUAGGGAAGAACAAGUGCUAGUUGAAUAAGCUGACACCUUGACGGUACCUAACCAGAAAGCCACGGCUAACUACGUGCCAGCAGCCGCGGUAA
rnacentral:rRNA from 1 species